rnacentral:tRNA from 1 species
GUUGUGGCUCAGUGGUAAAGUGCUUGCCUAGCACACUCGAGGCCCUGGGUUUGAUCCUCAGCACA